UUUAUGUUUGUGUGAAUAUUUGCCAAGUGUGUGCAUAUCUUUAAAGGCCCAAAGAUGAUGUUGGAUCUCCUGGAGCUGGAAUUACAAGUUGUGAGCUACAAGAGGUCUGAGCUACAAGAAGUAAGUUGUAAACAGUCGUGACUCAGAUGCAUGUCUUCUAGAAGAGCAGUGAGCGCUCUCAACUGUGGAUCCAUCUCUUCAGUCCCAAGUUUCUGAACUUCUUUAUGGAACUGAAAUCAAACCCAGAACCUUGCAUAUUCUAUGUAAGGUUUAUUUUAAAAUCUAGGGAGUGUUCUGGAAGAGAUUUUUUUCCCUUGAAAAGUCUGAAAUCUAGCAACUCUGAGCCUACUCUGACAAGCAACUGAAUAGACCAUUCUGCACAGACUAGGUCCAGUUGCAUCUGGACCUCAAACUUCUGAAACACAACCAAUUUCAUCUGCACAGACACUCUUUAAGAAGACAUUCAGUGUUACCACAGGAGACAUCUGCGCUGAUUUGACUCAAAACAACCACAAAUCAUUCUGGAGUGGAGUUUUCCAAAAACAAAACUGUUCUUAAAGAGAAUGAUGUCAUAAUGAGGCCAUAGAUCAGGGACGAUUGCCCAACAUGUGGCCUGUGAAUAUUAAGUUCAUUACAGGUUUUAUAUGACUCAAUGUGGUUCUAGUUGCUGGACAGUGUCUUGAGUGCACAUUUGAAUUGACUUUGCAGUAUAUAGAACAUUCUGGCACCUUUUGUUUGUAAACCAUGGCAGAUUUCCCCAUGUCUCACUCUGUCUGUUUUGCAUCGAGGUAUCCCAGAGCUGCUUCAGAAUUCCCCUGGGAACUAGCAGAGCUUCCCAGCCGUUUCCACUGUUGGUUUCUGCUAUCCUCUUGGUCCUCCCAUCUUACCUGUUAAAUCUGCAGAUGGCUGUGUUGUGAAAAAGUCACCAAACAAAAGCAAACCUGAAGCUUUCUGACUGCCUCACUGAAGUCUUUGUUGUUGUUGUUGUUGUUGUUUUUGUUUUGUUUUG
rnacentral:lncRNA from 1 species